AGCUUUCCCCUUUGCCAUCCUUCUUGCUGGUGUCCAACCUCCCCCUCGUUCUACCUUCACAGUGAAUUGGGCCCCUCAUUCCCGCCCGAGCCAUCUGGGAAGAACAAACAGCUGGGAAAUUUGAAGGCGGCUUAAAGAACUGACAAACGAGGAGCGUGUUUGGCAGCGAGCUGCACUGCCCUGGAGUGCAGGACGGACUUUCCGAGUGUCUUGUCGUGCACCUUUCCUUCUCCGAGCUUCACGCUGAAGAUGCCCAUUCGACUUGAGCAGAGGGACAGCUACUCAUGACACUCCACGGGGCAACUAGAGGGUCUCAGCUCAGCUCAGCUCAUCACUCCCACCAACCUACAGGUUCUGCCUGCUCAUUUCUAUAACUCUGGGCUGUUGCAGUUUGGUCUCUGGUGGUUCAGUCUGGAUUUGGAAGGAAGCCAGAGCUCUGCCCUGAUCCUUCAAGAGGGGAACUCAAGGCAGCUUACAUAAUUCUCCUCCUCCUCUCAGUCUUACCUUUGCAACAAGAGCACUGUGAGUUAGGUGGGGCUGAGAGUCUGUGACUGGCCCAAAGUCACCCAGUGAGCCUUAUGGCUGAGUGGAGACUCGAAUCCAGGUCACCUGAGUCCCAGUCCCACACUUUUAACCACUACACCACACUGGCUGUCAAUAACAACCACCAUCACCACAACAAUGAUACAUAGCUACUAGGUAUGGAUUUCAAGUAAUGCCUGUUUUGGCCUUUGUGCAUGUGAACUCCCAGCUCAACUUUCUGCUCAGCCAUGAAGAUAUCUCUUGCUCCUGGACAAAUCACUUUGCCUUCCCUUUCCCCACUGAGCUCUUAUUUGGGGGUGGGGAUGAAUAACUCCAUAUAUGAAGCCCUGCUGUCUUUGUAGGAAGGGGCAAAAAGCAAAUUUAAUGCAUUCUAAAAAAACAUUGAUAAAUACAAACACAGAAACAUAGAAACAGAACAAGUCAGGAGCCUCUUGGGCCAUCUAGUCUAACCCCCAGCUCCAGCCUGCUCCACUCAUGACAUACCUAAAUGCAGACUGUGUGUUCAGAGAGGCAGCAAAUACAUGAUGAAAAACAAUGAGGCUAUCGGCAAAGUGACUGAUGUAAGAAAACGUGAUUAUGUGAUGCUAACCAUGCCAAUUCUAGCUGAUUUCUUCUCUGUCCACAACCAAGAGUUCAUUCGAAGUAACAUCAGUUAAAAACAGCAAUAGUUAAAACCAGCAGAAUAAAGUGUGCAUGAGUAGCAAAUAAUACAUGCUAGGUGCUGCCCAUUUAAGCUGUAUUACCUUAAAUCUGUUCCGUCUGUUUGGUGUCUUAGUUCUAACAUCUGCUCAUCAACAGAAUCAGAUUUUUAAAAAUUAAAAUUUUGUUCUACUUGAGUUAAUUUGCAUUAGUGCUAAUGCUUUGGCCAUGUGCUCCAAUGCACUCAUAUGUACUUGUGCUAAUGUAUAUUUGCA